CCCGUUCCCAUCCCGAACACGGCAGUAAAACGCUCUCACGCCGAUGGUACUGCAGCUCGUCUGCGGGAGAGUAGGUCGCUGCCAGAU
rnacentral:rRNA from 1 species